rnacentral:lncRNA from 1 species
GCUCACUGGCUUCGGGUUCGUAGGAACUCCGAAGUUAAGCGAGUUGGAGGCUGGAGCAAUCCCAGGAUGGGUGACCACCCUGGGAAGUUGCUUCGUGAGCUCCCAGAAACAAAACCGUGCGGGCUGGUGAGAAUGUAGCCAGGCCCAAAGCGGACAAUAUCCUGCUACGGCGGAGCCGGUCCGGGGUGUGACAGUUUGGUAUCAGAGCCACUCUGCCGUGUGGUGCGAGUGUGCCGACGAGGACGUCGGAUCCCUUAAGGGGGGUGGAUUGUGAGAUCCCACAUCGACCAAACGGAGAGGGGGUGAUGUGCCUUAUAUGGCACACCUCGCAUCAAUAUAGUGGGAGGCCUUUUGGGAGCUCACUGGCUUCGGGUUCGUAGGAACUCCGAAGUUAAGCGAGUUGGAGGCUGGAGCAAUCCCAGGAUGGGUGACCACCCUGGGAAGUUGCUUCGUGAGCUCCCAGAAACAAAACCGUGCGGGCUGGUGAGAAUGUAGCCAGGCCCAAAGCGGA